GGAAGGGGCUAGUGUAAAUAGUGUAGCUCUCUACUGCAAGAACCAAAGUAGUGAGGAGAUAUGGUACCAUUUCACAUGAAGAACACUUGAAAGCAUUUCUAGGGCUUUACAAACAUGAUCUCAUGAGAAAGAGGGCUGGACCAAGAAUCAGGAGUCUUGGGUUCUGGGACUGGCUCUCCCGCCAACCAGAGGUGGCACCUUAGGAGAUCCACAUACUCUUCUUGGACCUUAAUUUUCCAGUUUAUAAAAUGGGAGAUCAUUUUCAAGGACAAACUGAAAAAUAAGUUGUUCCUUAAAUUGUCUAAUGGAAGGCUGCUCUGGAUGAUAUACAGAGGGUAUCCUAACCCUGAUGGU